rnacentral:lncRNA from 1 species
UAUUAAAUAUAAAAGAAUGCUAUAUUUUCAUCCUUUUGUUUAUCUAUUCUUUACUUUUCAGAUCACUGAUCACAAAAUUCGCUUUUUCAAUAUACAAGGACUACGGUAUAUCAUAACAGCCUUAAAAGCUGGAAUAACGAUGGGAUGCUGGUGAGUUAGCUUUGACAAUGCAGAAUAGAAAAACACUCGAAUGGAUCUGGAUGCUGGAUGAACUCACUGGAGCACUACUGCCUAUUUUCCCUGUUUCUUCUCACCUGUCUCUUCCAAUGCUAAGCCAUAUGUAUGCAAGCCUCUUCUAAACUCAGCUUUCAUUGGCUGAAAGAUGACAAAGGGAGGAUGUAGAGCAAUUUUGAAAAGCUGCGUAUUUUCUCCAACAAAACUACAUUAACCUGGAAGUGACUAGGUUAUAUUGAAUCUAAAAUGGUGGUGUUAUUCAUCCACUUCGUAUCAGAAAUUGAGGUCCCUGAUGAAAUUAUAGUCAGUACAAAAAUAUAGUUAGAUGGACAAGUUCUAGUAUUUGAUAGUUCAAUAGGAAAAUUAUAGUUAACAACAAUUUCUGUAUAUUUCAAAAUAGCUAGAAGAGAAGAAUUAUAAUGUUCCCAACAACAAAAAAGACAAAUAUUUGAGGUUAUCAAUAUCCCAAUUACUUGGAUUUGAUCAUUACACAGUGUAUACAUGUAUCAAAGUAUUACAUAUGCCCCCACAAGAUGUGUACAACUAUUAUAUGACAAGGAAAAAUUUUAAAAAUAAAGUUAGUAUGGUGGGAAAGAUUUUCUGAAUAUCUGAUGUGGUGGUAGGCUCCA